rnacentral:rRNA from 1 species
UUUAUUUGAGAGUUUGAUCCUGGCUCAGGACGAACGCUGGCGGCGUGCCUAAUACAUGCAAGUUGAGCGCUGAAGGUUGGUACUUGUACCGACCGGAUGAGCAGCGAACGGGUGAGUAACGCGUGGGGAAUCUGCCUUUGAGCGGGGGACAACAUUUGGAAACGAAUGCUA